rnacentral:rRNA from 1 species
AUAAUGGGUCAGCGACUUAUAUUCUGUAGCAAGGUUAACCGAAUAGGGGAGCCGAAGGGAAACCGAGUCUUAACUGGGCGUUAAGUUGCAGGGUAUAGACCCGAAACCCGGUGAUCUAGCCAUGGGCAGGUUGAAGGUUGGGUAACACUAACUGGAGGACCGAACCGACUAAUGUUGAAAAAUUAGCGGAUGACUUGUGGCUGGGGGUGAAAGGCCAAUCAAACCGGGAGAUAGCUGGUUCUCCCCGAAAGCUAUUUAGGUAGCGCCUCGUGAAUUCAUCUCCGGGGGUAGAGCACUGUUUCGGCAAGGGGGUCAUCCCGACUUACCAACCCGAUGCAAACUGCGAAUACCGGAGAAUGUUAUCACGGGAGACACACGGCGGGUGCUAACGUCCGUCGUGAAGAGGGAAACAACCCAGACCGCCAGCUAAGGUCCCAAAGUCAUGGUUAAGUGGGAAACGAUGUGGGAAGGCCCAGACAGCCAGGAUGUUGGCUUAGAAGCAGCCAUCAUUUAAAGAAAGCGUAAUAGCUCACUGGUCGAGUCGGCCUGCGCGGAAGAUGUAACGGGGCUAAACCAUGCACCGAAGCUGCGGCAGCGACGCUGAUGCGUUGUUGGGUAGGGGAGCGUUCUGUAAGCCUGCGAAGGUGUGCUGUGAGGCAUGCUGGAGGUAUCAGAAGUGCGAAUGCUGACAUAAGUAACGAUAAAGCGGGUGAAAAGCCCGCUCGCCGGAAGACCAAGGGUUCCUGUCCAACGUUAAUCGGGGCAGGGUGAGUCGACCCCUAAGGCGAGGCCGAAAGGCGUAGUCGAUGGGAAACAGGUUAAUAUUCCUGUACUUGGUGUUACUGCGAAGGGGGGACGGAGAAGGCUAUGUUGGCCGGGCGACGGUUGUC